AGGAAAUUCAUGCCUAGUAGAAGC
rnacentral:siRNA from 1 species